CACGUAGGCACCAAGCGUUGUCCGGAUUUAUUGGGCGUAAAGAGCUCGUAGGUGGUUCGGUAAGUCGGGUGUUAAACCCCCAGGCUCAACCUGGGGACGCCACUCGAUACUGCUGUGACUAGAGUCCGGUAGGGGAGCGUGGAAUUCCUGGUGUAGCGGUGAAAUGCGCAGAUAUCAGGAGGAACACCAGCGGCGAAGGCGGCGCUCUGGGCCGGUACUGACACUGAGGAGCGAAAGCGUGGGUAGCGAACAGG
rnacentral:rRNA from 1 species